AGGGGUAUCGCCAAGCGGUAAGGCAACGGACUCUGACUCCGUCAUCACUGAGGUUCGAAUCCUCAUACCCCUGCCA
rnacentral:tRNA from 1 species